GGGGAGGGGCGCCCGGGGGGGACUCGGGGUUCGCCGCCGCCAUCGCGGGGGCCCGGCUCAGGAAGGUGGGCAAGGAGGAGCCGCCGGGCGGGGGCGGGGCGGCCGCGGCCCCUCCCCCCAAGGGGGGGCUGAUGGAGGAGAUGAGCGCCAUGCUGGCCCGCAGG